CCCAAGACAAUUGCUCUUCACUCAAUGCGGUUCAGAUAAGCCAAAGGGUUGGACACCCAUGACGUAGAGAGAAGCUGCAGACUGUGACCAAAGGCAUCCUUCUAUCUUCUCCUCGUUGAGCUAAACAGACAGAGUUCUUGCAUUCCCUCUCUCUCUAAGUCUUCCAGUUAUUUGCAAACCUAAUCAUCAAUGAUAGAAGCAUGAAGUGGUUCCAGAUCCAGUCUCAGUGGGACGAAAUACCUCUGUCAUCCAGCUUCACUGAAAAAUCCUAUCGAGUUGGUUGGACCGUAUCUGUUUUCCAUCUGUGCAUGUGAAUUGCCUUUAUC